rnacentral:rRNA from 1 species
UGGGGAAUUUUGGACAAUGGGCGAAANCCUGAUCCAGCAAUGCCGCGUGUGUGAAGAAGGCCUUCGGGUUGUAAAGCACUUUUGUCCGGAAAGAAAUCCUUGGCUCUAAUACAGUCGGGGGAUGACGGUACCGGAAGAAUAAGCACCGGCUAACUACGUGCCAGCAGCCGCGGUAAUACGUAGGGUGCAAGCGUUAAUCGGAAUUACUGGGCGUAAAGCGUGCGCAGGCGGUUUGCUAAGACCGAUGUGAAAUCCCCGGGCUCAACCUGGGAACUGCAUUGGUGACUGGCAGGCUAGAGUAUGGCAGAGGGGGGUAGAAUUCCACGUGUAGCAGUGAAAUGCGUAGAGAUGUGGAGGAAUACCGAUGGCGAAGGCAGCCCCCUGGGCCAAUACUGACGCUCAUGCACGAAAGCGUGGGGAGCAAACAGGAUUAGAUACCCUGGUAGUCCACGCCCUAAACGAUGUCAACUAGUUGUUGGGGAUUCAUUUCCUUAGUAACGUAGCUAACGCGUGAAGUUGACCGCCUGGGGAGUACGGUCGCAAGAUUAAAACUCAAAGGAAUUGACGGGG